UUCCUCCUCUGACGUAAUGCUCACAGCCUACAGAGAGACAGGCAGAGAGGUCCUGUCACAGCAAAGCGAUAACACUAGUCUGAACCAAAAAAAAAAAGAGAGAAAUUACAGAUAACGAGCUGCUCCUGGCUUUGGUUUGCUGUGGCCAGCAAACCCGGGGCUCUGGGCGGCUGAAUAACAUACUAUAACAUCGGAAUAUUAGAACUCCAGAGCCAACCUAACUCACUAAUCAGUCGCUAUCAGUGUUUGCCGUGAAGCCUGAACUACCUCUCCUUCCCUCUCAGACCAAAGAAAAAAAGAGACAGCCAAGACACAGUCACCCCGUCCGACAUCAUCAACAAACAAAAAAAAAAAAAAAAACCACAAAGAGACCGAACCAGCCAGCAAACCAGCAGCCAGCCAGCCAGCCACCAUCUUAACAGGCUGCUUGAAAGACACACACUGAGAGAGAGAGAGAGAGAAAGAAAAAGAGGCUAAUGCUUGUUUUUGAUCAACAGGUUGUUAAAGUGAUGGUGGACUCUGACAACCGUGACUGAGGACCUAAACCAGAACCAAAAAAGGAAAAAAAAAAAAAAGACUGGACAGAAAGAAGGGCAGCCUGCAUAGCACUUCUUACACGGAUCUACAACACACUUGAUCAAACUCAAAGCCGUAUUGCCCAGCUGCUAAGCAUAAGGAGAGCAACAGCCCUGGACCAAAGAGGGCCAGUAGCCGAACCGUUGGCUACUGCUGGACGGACCGUUGCGGCGCUGGGUCAAAUCGAGCCGCUUCAACAGAGCUGAUGCCAAGGCCAGGAGUCAGCCAUGAUGUUUUUGUAACCUGAUGAACAGCAGAGGUAGGGUGCAUUCAUUUUAGUCAUUUGUUUUUUCACCAUUAAUCCCUCAGUAGUAUGGUUAAUAACUUUAAUUUCCUCAUUAACUAGGAUUAUAUGAACAAAAUAAUUUGACAAAAGGAGAUACUUAAAUUACAUGUCUGCAUGCUUCAGUAACAUUUAGCAAUUAGAGGUGGGAUCAUAUCCCUUAUAUUGCAUUUUUAAAAUAUUUGAUUAUUCAUCAUAUAUUUUAUUAUGUGAUUAUUCUUAUUUAUUAUUUUGAUCUGCUCGAAUCGUGAGUAAUUAUUCUUAAUUAAUAGAUCUCUUUUCGGUCUUGUGUUUACCAAAUGAGACUUAAUUUUUUAUUAUAUACAUAGUAUAUUAUUAUAUAUAUUUUAAUUAAUUUCUAUGUGUAUCUGAGAUAAUUUCUGUGUGCGCGCGCAUUAUUGUGUGUAUGUGUAUAUGUUUUUUUUAAUGCAUUUUUGUUUUAAUUUUAAAAAGAAUUUAACGCAAAACUACAUGCAUCAUUCGAAAGAAAAAAGUUUCAAGCUCGACCAGCUUGUGGCGGUUUAGUAGAUUAGCGUUAUUGCCUUUUGCUAGAUUGGGUGCAGGAGUUUGCUGAGACUAAAUGAGUGCUGAUAAAAUGGCGUUUAUGCAGAGCUGCUCUGAGAAGUCUCAUGAAAAGCUACUCUUAGUCAUCAGUGUUGGAGGAAGUGACUGUGUGUGUUGCCUCAGAAUGCUACCCAUAUGUUGUGGUCUUAAGAUUUAACUGCUUUAUGUGUGAGGGUGGAAAGUGUUUGUAUGAUUAUCCACAUUCAGAAAGAUUUUGAACGUUAUAGAGUGAUUGACGAGCGAUUACCUGCUCCUCCAUCGUGCCUACGUUGCACCCCGGUUCAGUAAACCUUAGGAACAGAGCUCAUUAGUUAAGUUUAGUGGUAGUAGCGUGGCCAGUUGUUUGAAGGGUAAGAUCAUAUGUACUUGGAGCAAAAUAUGCAAGUAAUUGCUACCAGCCGUGUCUUGUAAACUGAACCUCUCUGACAUAACUGUUGAUUUUGCUUUGCAAAUGCCGCAAACUUGACAGAAGUCAAUCUGCUCGAUUGGCGAUGGUGAUAGCGAGCCUGCAAUUACAGGGUGAUGACGUACCAGACGUCUUUGUGCCUGUAAAUGCAGAGCUUUAUUUAUAUCAAUGUAAAUCAAUUUUCUUAAAGAUGUCUUACUGGUUAGAAUUGAGCAGGCCCGUGUUUCUGUUGCUUCAUGCAUUUAAAAACCCACCUAGUUUUUUGUACUACAGGAAAUGCAAAUACAUACAGUUGAGGUUAUUAUGUGUGUGCACAAAGCUGCAGUGGUUUGUGGUGAAGGAUACAUUAUAAUAAUAGCUGUGUGAAUAUUCUUUUGUUUCUGUUGAAAUACUGUACGUGUCAAACUCUUUGCGUAUAUGUGUAAAGCAAACAGAAUUUUGUGUGUAGUCCUUUUAUUGAGUUGUGCUGUAUA